AAACAUGGCUCCCUGUCAANAAAUAAAUAAGGAGUCGGACCUGCCCAGUGAANUUUUUUAACGGCCGCGGUACUCUGACCGUGCAAAGGUAGCAUAAUCAUUUGCCUUAUAAUUAAAGGCUAGUAUGAAUGGUUUGACAAGAAUGUAGCUGUCUCUUUGCAAUUUACUAGAAUUUUAUUUUCAGGUGAAGAAGCCUGCAUAAAAUUAAAAGACAAGAAGACCCUAUCGAGCUUUAAAAAAAUUAGUAGGUNNAGUAAAUUAAUANACUUUAAAAAAUUGACUAUUAAAUAUUUUAGUUGGGGCGACUAAGGAACAAAAAAAGCUUCCUUUAACAUUUUUUAGACCAAAUAAGUAUUGAUCCAAAAUAUUUUGAUUAAAAAAAUUAGUUACCGUAGGGAUAACAGCAUUAUCUUUUUUAAGAGUUCUUAUCGAAAAAAAGGUUUGUGACCUCGAUGUUGGACCAGAAUAUCCUAAAGAUGCAGCAGUCUUUAAGGG
rnacentral:rRNA from 1 species